rnacentral:lncRNA from 1 species
UUUUCCAUAACCAUGUUGAUGUUAUGAGACAUAUUUGGUUGUUGAAUUACUUUAGUUUCACUAUUCCACUCCGAUGGGCCUAUGUAAAGACGAGUAUGUGAUGAUAUAUGAUUAAAUUAUUACAUAAUUUAUAUAACUCAUAUUACGAAGCAGGUUUAUGUUGUGUUUGAGUGACACUCUAUGUGUGUAAUUGUUUUGUUUUUCGCAUUAUUUCGCUUUUCGAGGUUUAGGGUGUUAAAC